CUACGGUUAUAUCAUGCUGAAAACAGCGAUUCUCGUUCGAUCACCAAAGUUAAGCAGCGUUGAGCCAGGUCAGUGCUUAGAUAGGGACCGCUUGGGAG